GACGAGUCUCACGAACGUUAUUCGGAAUUACUGGGCGUAAAGGGCGCGUAUGCGGCCCGCUACGUCGAACGUGAAAUCCCUGGGCUCAACCCAGGAACUGCGUCCGAUACUGGUGGGCUUGAAUCCGGGAGAGGGAUGUGGAAUUCCAGGUAUAGCGGUGAAAUGCGUAGAUAUCUGGAGGAACACCGGUGGCGAAGGCGACAUCCUGGACCGGUAUUGACGCUGAGGCGCGAAAGCCAGGGGAGCAAACGGG
rnacentral:rRNA from 1 species